AUUCCAGCGCAGCAUCGCGCCGCUGCCCCGCGCGGGAUGCGGCGGCCCGCGCUUUGCCCGCGGGCUGGUCCGGCUCAGCCGCGCCACCGCGGGACCCGCGCUCGACCCGCAGGGGUGCGGCGCGUGCGGGGCCCGCGGGGAUGGGAGGGGCUUCCCGACCGUAGCGCCACGCGCGGGACAGCCGGGCAGUCGUGACACAGGCUCACUCGCCCAGUCGGGGGACACGGGACACUGUAAGGCACUUUCCCGGGUGUCUAAGAGCAACCGCUGCGUGUGCACAGCCGAGUCCCUGAAACUGGGACCCCCGUGGGCUCCCGCGUUCGGGCUCAGACCCCAAGGCAUUUACUGAAGUACUGUUAUGCAGAAGGCAAUACGCUAAGGUCUCCAAAAGAGGUAUAUAUAAAAAAAAGAGUUUCCAGGUUGAAAAAGAUCAGGCUUGCUAUUCUGAGAUCCUGGGUGAGGCAAAUACUUAGUGAACUUUUGCAGGUCAAGGCCAAGCUCAUCCAGCCGGAGAGCAAUCUGCCAUGCCAAGUUGAAAGUCUUGCCUCAACAUGUGAUUCAGUCUCAGCUGACAUCAUUCUGCCAGAUAGUGGAGUCUGAGGAAGCAGCAAGAAGCCAUCAGCACACCACCAGAAGUGUUUUGGUGUGUUUCUCUAUGGAAUCCUGACAAAUGGAGCUCAACUAUGCAAUGUGGACAAUUACAUGCAUCUUUGUAGCGAAGAAUCCUUUGUUAUGUGUCUUUUCAUGUUCUUGCUUUAGAGAAAAUUCUUUCACCUGUGUCUGCUUCAGUGAAAUGUUCCUUCACAUGUCUGCUUCAGUAAAACAUCGUUCCACUUGUGUCCAUUGAGGAAAACACUCCUUCACAUGUUUGUCCCAGAAAAACACCAUCCAACACAGCUGAUUUUCCAAAGAACCCUUAAGUUUCCACUUCACUUUAUUUUUCUAACUGAAAGAAAAUAAUGUCAUAAAGUUGAAUAUCUGUUCAAGAGAACAAGUCUUUAGAAUCCUUUUUAUAAAAAUAAGAUGUAUCCAAAAUAC